rnacentral:rRNA from 1 species
CCUACGGGAGGCAGCAGUGGGGAAUCUUGCGCAAUGGGCGAAAGCCUGACGCAGCAACGCCGCGUGCGGGAUGAAGGCCUUCGGGUUGUAAACCGCUUUCAGCAGGGAAGAAAUUGACGGUACCUGCAGAAGAAGCCCCGGCCAACUACGUGCCAGCAGCCGCGGUAACACGUAGGGGGCGAGCGUUGUCCGGAUUUAUUGGGCGUAAAGAGCUCGUAGGCGGUUCACUAAGUCGGGUGUGAAACCUCCAGGCUCAACCUGGAGACGCCACCUGAUACUGGUGUGACUAGAGUCCGGUAGGGGAGUGUGGAACUCCUGGUGUAGCGGUGAAAUGCGCAGAUAUCAGGAAGAACACCAGCGGCGAAGGCGGCACUCUGGGCCGGUACUGACGCUGAGGAGCGAAAGCGUGGGUAGCAAACAGGAUUAGAUACCCUGGUAGUCCACGCCGUAAACGUUGGGCACUAGGUGUGGGUCUCACCAACGAGAUCCGUGCCGCAGCACGCAUAGUACGCCCGCCGUCGGGAGGUACGGCCGGCGACGGACGUAAACCGUACGAAAGGAAGUAGUAACGGUCGUGAGACGUGCCGACGGACGACGACGAGGGAGGAGG